rnacentral:tRNA from 1 species
GGAGGGGUGUCCGAGUGGUCUAUGGUGACGGUUUUGAAAACCGUUGUCGCGCAAGCGACCGUGGGUUCGAAUCCCACCCCCUCCGCCA